GAGCAAUCCGGCAGUGGCGGACGGGUGAGUAACGCGUAGGAAUCUAUCUCUGGGUGGGGGACAACCGUGGGAAACUACGGCUAAUACCGCAUGAUACCUGAGGGUCAAAGGCGCAAGUCGCCUGGAGAGGAGCCUGCGUACGAUUAGCUUGUUGGUGGGGUAAAGGCCUACCAAGGCGACAAUCGUUAGCUGGUCUGAGAGGAUGAUCAGCCACAUUGGGACUGAGACACGGCCCAAACUCCUACGGGAGGCAGCAGUGGGGAAUAUUGGACAAUGGGCGAAAGCCUGAUCCAGCAAUGCCGCGUGGGUGAAGAAGGUCUUCGGA
rnacentral:rRNA from 1 species